rnacentral:rRNA from 1 species
CCUACGGGAGGCAGCAGUGAGGAAUAUUGGUCAAUGGACGAGAGUCUGAACCAGCCAAGUAGCGUGAAGGAUGACUGCCCUAUGGGUUGUAAACUUCUUUUAUAUGGGAAUAAAAUGUUCCACGUGUGGGUUUUUGUAUGUACCAUAUGAAUAAGGAUCGGCUAACUCCGUGCCAGCAGCCGCGGUAAUACGGAGGAUCCGAGCGUUAUCCGGAUUUAUUGGGUUUAAAGGGAGCGUAGGUGGGUGUUUAAGCCAGUUGUGAAAGUUUGCGGCUCAACCGUAAAAUUGCAGUUGAAACUGGCAGUCUUGAGUACAGUAGAGGUGGGCGGAAUUCGUGGUGUAGCGGUGAAAUGCUUAGAUAUCACGAAGAACUCCGAUUGCGAAGGCAGCUCACUGGACUGCAACUGACACUGAGGCUCGAAAGUGUGGGUAUCAAACAGGAUUAGAUACCCCAGUAGUC